GGUCAGGAAGAUGCCCUGGAGAAAGAAAUAGCAACCUACUCCAGUUAUUCUUGCUUGGACACUCUUAUGGACAGAGGAGCACGGAUUUUAGGUUAUAGAGACAAAGGAUUCAUCCUUCAAAAUUUAUAUACAGAAGAACACAUCAGAGUUAGAGAAAUUAGGAACCUUCACUAAACAGAAAGUAAAACUUAAGUUCCAAACACCUUGGCAUGUUCCAAGAUGGAAUGCAAAUAGCAAGGAAGAUCAUGAGUUGUUUACAGGUGCUUCCCCAGUGGUUCAGUAGUAAAGGUCCACCUGCAUAAUGCAGGAGCUGUAGGAGACCUGGGUUCAAUCCCUGGGUCAGGAAGAUCCCCUGGAGAAGGAAAUGGCAACCCACUGCAGUAUUCUUGCCUGGAGAAUCCCAUGGACAGAGGAGCCUGGUGGGCUACAGACCAUAGGCUUCAGAUGCGACUGAAGUGACUUAGCAGUGGCAGUGUUUAUAAAGCAAAAGGAAUCAAGACCAUCCCCAAGAAAAAGAAAUGCAAAAAGGCAAAACAGCUGUCUGAGGAGGCCUUACAAAUAGCUGUGAAAAGAAGGGAAGUGAAAAGCAAAGGAGAAAAGGAAAGAUAUACCUAUUUGAAUGCAGAGUUCCAAAGAAGAGCAAGAAGAGAUAAGAAAGCCUUCCUCAGUGAUCAAUGCAAAGAAAUAGAGGUAAACAAUAGACUAGAGAUCUCUUCAAGAAAACUAGAGAUGCCAAGGGAACAGUUCAUGCAAAGAUGAGCUCAAUAAAGGACAGAAAUGGUAGGGACCUAACA
ensembl:lncRNA